rnacentral:rRNA from 1 species
AGCUCUGAAAGCGUAUACUAGAGUUGUUGCGGUUAAAAAGCUCGUAGUUGGGAGAAGGAGACAUUGAGAAAAAUAGAGUGUUUAAGGGUGAAGUGGGAGAGCACAGGACGUCCCGUCAAAAGAGAACGUAACAGUUUUCAUUUGAUGGAGAGAAUAGAAACAAUAGAGGAUAUUAGUAUUUUAUAGUUAGAGGUGAAAUUCUAUGAUUUAUGAAAGACUAACAGGGGCGAAAGCAUUUAUCUCUUGUAUGUUUA